ACAUUGGAAAGUUGUUUAAAAUGACAUGUCCUAUUUAAAUCAUGAAACUUUAUUUUGGACUUGACUGUCCCUUAAAGUAUAGAAACUUUCUGUAUAGGUUGGGAUACCACAGGCUAAAUCAGUUAUUUCAAAUGCCAAAAUAAGGGUAAAAGCUACUUGUAAACAAUUUAAUAUACUCCAGCAGGUAAAAUGGAUCAUUUGGAACAAUGUAAAGGGAAGAAAAAAAUGUGGAUAAACUGUCCAUUUAAAUGUCUAUUUCCCAAACUAGGUGAGCCCUGUUUGUAAGGAUAAAAAUACAAUAACAUAUUAUCUUUAUUUGUAAUGCAGCAACAGGCAAACUAAGAAGAGUUAAAGGGACAUACUUAUGUGCUAAAUCACUUGAAAAGUGAUGCAGCAUAACUGUUAAAAUCUGACAGGAAAAUAUCACCUGAGCAUCUCUAUGUACAAAGAAGAUAUUUUACCUCAUAAUGUAUUCAGCUCACCAGAGCAACAGAUUCUGUUAAUACAAAAUGUCUGAAUAAGAGCACAAAGAAAUUGCCUGGCCACGUCAACAGCCAGCACAUUUCAGCACUCCUGCAUUCUUUUCUAUUUAAGGAUGACACUGCAGAAGUUUUUGCUCCCACAGCUGUGAAGAGAUGGAUUCUUUAGAGGCACAAGAAGCUGCUACCCAUCCCCCCCCCCAGCCUAAUGCCUUAACCUCUUCACUACCAUAACAGCCUGGUGUGUACAAGUGACCUGAGAACUAUUAGUCACUUAUUUUAUAUACAGUUAUUAAUCAAUGCAUUGUGAACGAUCUGCAUAGAAAAUACAUGUUUUACGCGUAUUUCAAACUUUAUUUUUUUAGCAGAUUUUUCAUUAUUCUGCAGUCCAAAGACACACCCUUUAAAAAGCCUCUUGAAUGUUUUUUUAUUAUCUCUUUUGCUAUGGCCAAUUAGUGACAGAUACAAACGAACUCCUGCACGUAUCAAGCAAUUACAGUGAAGCAUGUAGAAGGGUCAGGGUUCUAAUUACACCGAAUGAACUCCAGAAGUGGCAGUGGGCAAACUACAGUUUUCAAAUUUAAAGGGGCAUUUUCACGGAUACCGGGCUGCAGGGGUUUAACCCCUACCACCUACCCCCUCUUGUUUCUCAGCGGUUUUGGGCUCCUCAGAGCAACCGCGAUCUCCCCAAGCUUUGGUUUACCUUGUUUUGUCUGUAAACUGGAUCUUGGAAGAAGCUGGCCUCUGACCGACUUAUGUCCCUCUGGCUGGCCGAACUCCUGGAACUGACGGUCUGCCGCAUCAGCUGGGAUCCCCGGUCCAGCGGCCCUUUGUCCCAGAGCUCCGCUCUUUUGGGGAUUGGAAGCCCUUAGGAAGGUCAAGAGUUGGUGGAAUUGCCAGAGGGGAGCUGCUUUGGGAACUUAGGGUUUUGGACACACCUACCUUCCCAAUUUUUACCAGGCUGUAACUCUGGUCCCCAGUAACGAAUAAUGCCGCUUUUUGGACUGUGACAUCUGGGGACAGAGAGCUUUCAAAUGACACAUUGGAAACCACCACCCCUGUAUCCUGGGUCUCUGUGACUUUUAUGGCAGAUGCCAGCCUGUCUGGAGGGGCGGGAAUGGCGAGAGAUAUGAAGGUCAGAUAAGGCUUGUUAUCAAGAUCAGUUUCUGUAUAAAUGUUGUGUGUUUUCCCUAAUAAAAGUCAGUUCUUAUUUUCACCUGAA